AGCGAUACAUAACGCUGGAUUCUCACGUCCUAGCGAACACAUAUCAAUAAUGGGCUGUCCCUUCUCACUGCGCAUAUAUAUAUGCCAUUGUAAAAAGUAUUCAUUGGACUACUUCCACGGUGUCUGAAAUUUUAUUUAAAACAGUUAUUGAGUAAGGAAGGGAAGCUAUAAGGAAUUCUGGAUUGGAUGACAUAGAGUUGACAGUUUCUGGUGAUGGCACGUGGAAAAAAUGUAGCUUCAUUUCAUUACUUGGAGCAUCGACGUUGAUCGGAUGGUUCACAGAAAAAAUCGGCGAUAUUUUAGUGAAAUGUGCGCCUUAUAAAUCAUGUGAGUAUUAAGAAUCGAGAAUAGGCCCAGCUGAAUAUGAAGAGUGGAAAGCAGAACAUAAAAUUGAUUGCUCAUCGAAUGACAAAGAAUUCGCUAGAAAGAUGGAGAUAGAUGCUAUAAAGGAAAUGUUUUUAUGAUCUGAGGAGCGUUACGGAUUCAGAUAUAUCAAUUAUAUAGAAGAUGGUAAUUCGAAGACAUAUAAAGAAGUGGUUGACGCUAAACCGUAUGGAGAUGCAGUACAAAUAAAUAAAAAAGAAUGCAUUGGAUACGUACAAAAACGGAUGGAAACAUGACUUCGUCAAUGCGUAAAAAAAGAAUAAAGGCAUAGAAGGAAUAAGUUCACUGGAGAAAUGAUAGAUAAAUUGAGCAUCUAUUAUGGAUUAGCGAUCCGCAGAAAUUGUGACUGUGUAGAAAAGAUAAGAGAUGCAAUCUGUGCCACGUUCUACUACUAUCUCUCAGAUAAUGAGCAACUACAACAUGAGAAGUAUCUUCCAGGAUCUGACUCUUGGUGUUCGUAGCAGAAAGCGAAGGCAGAGGGCAAGUUGGCUGAGUACAAACAUGAUUAUAAAUCGCUUCCACCGGAAGUUCUAGAUGUAAUCAGGCAUAUUUAUGAAGAUCUCAACACAGACACUUUAUUGGAACCUUUUGUCAGAGGAUAUACCCAGAACAAUAAUGAGAGUCUCAAUAAUUUGAUCUAAAAGAUAUCGUCAAAAAAAGUCCACUCCGGUCUAAGUAUAGUCGAAAUUGCAGUCAACAUCGCUGCCUGCUUAUUUAAUGAAAGGUCUGUGACUUUAUCAAAAAUAAUGCAAACAAUACAAAUCGACACAAGGUUCAAUGCUCAUCGGUAGAUCGCUAAAAAAGAAAGCCGGCACCUGAGUGUCUUGCCAAGCACGCGACGCAGAGUUCGAUGAAGGACGAGCAGACGAAGCACAAAGAGCAAAAAAAGGGUAAUAAAGAGGCUUCUACGUCAAAGAAAGGAGUAUUCUAUAAUCCAGGCAUCGAUGUUGCGUAUGGUAAAAAAUAAUUUCAUUCAACAAUUUAUUCACAGCAUGUACCUGUUAGUGUCACGUAAAACUUUAAACGCGUUUUUUUUCACAACAAUGUUUUGAAAACCGCUACCAGAAAUAUCUCGGAGAUUAAUGAACCGAUUUGCAUGAAAUUUUUUACAGCUACUCUCAAUACAAUAAUCUAGUAUUUGUCAUAGGAUUUUUUCGAUUUAUGGCUUAGUUUUUUUUUAUAAAUAAAAAAAGACCGAUCUUUAGGUCGAAAAUCGCAUUUUUCACUACGAACCCAAGUAGAACAGAAAAUCACAAUAAUAUCAAAUGACAUCAAGAUGACAUCAAAAUGACAUCGAAAUGACAUCAUAAUGAUUUUUGAUAGUCAUUAUGAUGUCAUUUUGAUAUUAUUAUGAUUUUCUGUUUUGCUUGGGAAUCGAUGUCAUUCUUCGAAAAAUCAAUUUUUUCAAAAUCGCCUAUGACAAGUACUAAUUUUCUUCAUCUAGUUUAGGCCUAUCUAACCCGCGGCUCGUGAGCCACGAGUGGCUCUUUCCCCGAUCUCUGAGCUAGGGCUUAGUUUCCCCCACUGUUUCAGCCGACUAAGCCGUCGACGCUUGGUCUUCGCUUGUCGACGCUGCGCGUCGAGAGUGUGGGUUGCAGAAAAACGCGAUGGUAUGAGAGAGGGCGGAGGUAUCUCUGGUACAUUUUUAAACACCGUUCGGGAAAAUAGCUGCCAAGAUCUCCAUUUUUUAUAUUUUUUAUUAAAAUUCUGGGAAGAUCUUCUCAAAAGACUACUCUGCAAGACAUGUAUUUUCCUUUAAAAAAAAAAAAAAAACAAUAAUUUUA